GGCUGCUUCCACUUGUUGGUUUUGUUUUGUUUGCUCUGUGUCAUCCCCCCUGGCUUCAUUUCCCACUCUAACACUGCACUACGGAGGAUUAGAAUAAUACCUAAGAAACUGCAUGCCAGGAUCCUUCCCUAGUUGAACUACUGACUAGCUAGCCAGCCAGCCUCUGAACUAGAGACAAGCUAAUGAAUUAAUAGGGCAUAUUGUCUGAGCCAGCCUGUCCAAUGAAUCAGGUGUGGCUUAGGAUCAGAACCACUUGGCCACUCUGAAGCCAACAGGUCAUCAUUAACAUCACAUGCACAAACCCCCAGCCCACCCCCUCCCUGCAAAGGAACACCAGGGUUCAAACUCAAACUUUAUUAGACAGGCCAAUUCGAUGACUGGUUUUGCAAUCAUCUUGGGACUAGAUAAGCAUACUGCAUACAGAUCUUGGGAUCAGGUAAGCCUUCUGCUUCCUGAGUCAGCAUGGAAAACCCCAGCCAUCAUCUCUCUGUGUUGCAAUAUUUCCUUUUAGUGGAACAGGUGUGGUAAAACAUCCUUUCUCCUAGCCUCUUUCCUGCCAUGAUGUGCGCUCUGAUCUUCAUGUUACUGGUAACGCAUAGAAAUCAUAGCAUUAUUUUCCUUUCUCCAACUUUUCCUCUAACCACAGUUUGAUGUAAAGCUAUUGCUAGGUGUCUCAAGAGUUUUGAAUUUACUAAGGAUAUUUGGCUUCACUUAAGUGUGAAGAGUGUUCCUCAUUGCAGAAAAGAUCUAUGCAAAUCUACUCACCAAUUGAAGUGCCCAGGGCACAGAAGGGGUGAAACAUAAAAAAGGGUCUCUUGCGCCCUUGGCAAGGAGCUGUAUUGAUGCCCUACCCCUGAAAAACCCACUUUACCGCAAUAGCUGCAUUAUUUGUCUAAUAUCACCCCCUCUACUCCAGUAUCUCAGUUUUUUCUGAGGUGAUUCUGUCAUCCAGGCAAUCUGCCUCUCACGACUUUUGGCCCACACAACUUAACUCUCUUGGUCAGAGCAAUCUGGGGAGAUUUUUGCAGGGGCCGUUUUCACCAUCCCAUAGGUGCACCCCUGGGCAUACAAGCUAAGAAUUAUCGUAUUGAGUGAGCUGUCAGAAAUAGCCUCACAUGCUCAGAGAUGGGACUUGACAACCAGGAAUUGGACAUUGCUGUACAGCAAAAUCACACUCCCAGGCUUGAAAAAGCCCCUUUUCAUAAUUAAAACAUUAAUAUGUAACAUGGGAAGUACUGGAGUCGAAUCCUUACCCUUAAAACUCUUAAAUCACUAAGGUAUAGAUGCUGGUUUUGGUUACUCAGUACUGUAAUGUGAGAACAAGACUCUCACAUGCUUAUUUCAUGUUAUUUCAAAGCUCAGCUCUGAGGCUGAAAACAGAUUUUUGGGCUUUGUGCAGUUCAAAAGAACUCAUUUGUCAUUUCCACCAUUUCCUUCUCAGCAGGCAUGCUGAUUUGCAUAAUUCACCAGCUUUUAUAACCUCGACUCAGGAGUGAUGUAUUAAUGAACCAAGUGUGUACAGCAAUAUGGAUUAAAGAAUAUAUGAAGGUAAUGUUAGCCUAGGAGUAGAAGCAAGAGUCGCCAUUCAUGGGGAAGAAGAUUUGAAGAUUAGUAUGUUACAACUGCAACAAUUUGAUCAAGGCUAGGGCGUGCAUUAUUCUGGUUUUUUUAAAUUACAUAUUGCUGAAGUUGGUGAAUAUAAAAGCACCAAUCAUAGCCCAGCCAACUUCCCACCAGAAAAAUCUGUUUAUCGAGGAAUUUUGUAUGGGAGAGUCGGAUAGGAAAAGUAGAAACGAACCAAAUUAUACAGUCUCACCAUUCUAACAAUACCGAAACAUUUUGAUGUGCUAAUCUACACGCAGGAAAACAUCCUGCUUCCCUCUACUAUGAAGUCUUAAGAGCAGACAGCUGGCAACAGGGAUCACUUUACUGAAUCCUCCCUCCCAUUAUUAGUAGGCUGAGUUUCCUGCACGCUGAAAAGUGGAAUAAAUUGCAACAAUGGGCUUACAAAUAGCACAAGUAACAUAAGAAUAAUAUUUGUCACCUUGAGCUCCUUCAGGCGGAAGAGAGGGAAGUAAAUUGAAUAAAUAAUUGCGCUUACUCCACAAGCUUGCAGUCCGCUCUUCUCAUUCCACAGGACAUCUGAGCCAGAAGUGCUGAUGUGACCAGCCCAGCUGCAUUGUUAGUACCCAAAUUUGAUGACAUCAUCACCUACUGCACCCCAUUUCUAUCUGGGGCGGCUAUAUCAUGGCAGAACGAGUUACUCAGUAGAACUGAGCCAGACUCAAAACAAUUGCUACCUGUAUGGUUGCCUCAGGGCAGCCACCUCAUGGCAGCAUGGUUAGAAAGCUGAUUCUGCUCUUAUGGUAAAAGAUCCCUAAUCAAGUGUCAUGGUUAACUAAAUCAUGUUUUGUUGACUUACGUUGCACCAGAAAGUAAAAAAAAUAAAAAUAUAACAAAAAUUCAUUUUUCCUUGCCUGAUUGUUCAGACAACUUGGUAGGUUUAAAUCUACAGGUUUUUGUAGAAGUAAACAAGAACUCAAAUUGGUUUGCAGUUUGCCAAGUUCAUUGUGGAAGGCAGCAAGUGUGGGAGGAAGAAGAACAUGUAAUAGCUGCUAAUGUGUAGUUACACAGGCCAAUUCACGUGCUUCAGAGUCUGAUGACUUGGACUGACCUUUUUAAAAUGCAGCUUGUGUUGUGACUUUUUUUAAAAACCCCACACUUAUUUAACUUGUUUUUCACCUGAAACCAAUCGGUCCCAACAAUAAUAAAACAAUAAACUGAAAUAAUUCAGAAGCAUAACACACACAACCCCCAAACCAAUCGCUAAAAAUAAAACAAUAAUAACAUUAUUUACAACUAAAAAGCAACCCCAAACAUAUAAGCCUAAUUAUAUUCCAUCAAAUAUUUCUCAUAUUCUGGGAUGUAGGCAAUGGUUUUAACCGGGCACCAAAGACAUGAGUUAGUACCAGGAGGGUUUCAGUGGGGAGAGCAUUACAUAGAUAGGAGUGCCCUCUCCCUAACUGCCACCUUCUGAACCUGUCUUUAGGGGACACUCAGAGAAGAGCCUCAGAUGAUGCUCACAGGGUCUGGAUAUGUUAGUUUUUGAGCAAUCUCCUUAUCAGUCUUCUGCGUAUGGUGCUUAAAGCAUGAGUCUUUCCCAGCUACAUCAGUGAUGUGUACUUUUGCAGAAAUUGCCAGAUGGGUUCGAAAGAGCAAAGAUGUUGAAGCCAAGAGAGACUCUGGUCUGUAUUCUGCAGUGCUAUAUAGUCCAUGUUGCUAUUUCAGCCUGUGCUCAAGUCUCAUACAAUCAGAUCAGCACACACAAACUGGACUGAAUUCAACCAUGUUUUGGCCAGAUUUGAACUGAACUAGCUGAACUAGCUACGUGGCCAAUUCUGUGCAUGUGCAACAGCCAUCAUAGUGAAUGGUUCAUGUGAACAGGCCCAGCAAAGGGUUUAAGAAGCAGAGCUGAAGCUGCUCUAUCUGUCAGGCAAUUAAGGGUAUCCCUUCCCCUUAGGAAUUAGAAUCAGUCAAUUGGUCUAUGAAGCUCAGUGUUGUCCAUCUCUAGACUGGCAGUGGCUCUCCUGGAUCUGCAUGCAAAUAAUGAACCCUACUAUUGAGUGCUGUCCAUUUCCAUUGCUUCAUGCCACAUAAAUCACCUAUAAUGAGCAGAGAAGGAUGAAACACUGAAGGCAUAAUACUUGUGGCAUGGUCAAUUUCUUUGGCAGAAAGUGUCAAGAUUCCACAACACCUUCACAGAAGAUGAACAAUCCCUACAUACAAAAGAGAGGUGUCCAGAGCAUAUAUUCGUGAUUUUAUUUGUAUGAUCAGAGGAACUUUGUUUAAGUUUUUAUUUUAUUUUGGGGGGGGACGGGACUUCAUUUUCCUUUGAGGGACCAGAACUCUGAACGGCCCUGAGACCUGCAGGUAUAGGGUGGUAUAUAAAUUCAAUUAGUAGUAGUAGUAGUAGUAGUAGUAGUAGUAGUAGUAGGUACAGAGGAAAACAACCCAAGGUGACCAGACUUUUGAAAAUAAAAUGUGGGAAUCCUGCAAACCACACAGAUCUAUUGUCUCUUCCAAGAAACAAGGGACAAAGCUACUGGUGUGGUUUCAAGCAUUAUUACUGGAAAAAUAUAAGCAGGCUUCUUCACAUGUACUUAAAUGAAAAUGCUUCAUAGGAAAAUGUAUUGAACAAUGUAGAUGGUAAUACACAAGCGGGCAGCUGUGUUGCACUGUACCUGCAGUGCCAUUUGUGCAGUUUCGGGUGAGGGAUUGCAAGAGUCAAUACUUGGUAUGAGUUGGAGAUUUUUUCAGUUAAUGGAAACCUCAGCAUACAAUGCACAAUUCAGAAAUGAAAGCAUCUGUGAUUAAGCACCCAAUAGCCUGCAUGUGGAAUUGUUGUUUGAUAACGGACACAUAAAAGUUGCACUCUCCUACAGCAGCCUUUUCUCAGCUGCAUCCACAGGACUGCUGUUCCAAGGCUGGAAAGGAGGAAAUUCCAAAUGAGCUUGGGCUCUGCAUUCUUAAGAAGGAAUUGUCAAGAUUUUGAAGUCGUAAAUGUAAAGAAAAAAUAAUAAUAAUAACAAUAGUUUAUAUACAGUAUAAGUUUGAAGUUGCAUCAGAAUGAGACGUAUUAAAUUUCUGUGAUAAAAUAGUUUCAUGGUUGUACAAAGUCUUUAAUUACUCUUACUGAAUUAUGCUAUUGUGACUAUAGGACAUGGGAUGUAAUUCUCCACAAAAUUGUGGCAUUUAUUUUCUAGCUUUGGCUCCAUGGAACAGACGUCACACUUUUGACUGUCCCCCUCAAUGGAGAAUGUAUUUUAUAACAGCAAGAGCUGAGCCAGCCUAGUUUAGAAGAAACAGCAAGUAUGCUUCCUAUAAGCACACUGAGGGAGAAAGAGCAUUAAGGCCAUCGCACGCACUAUUUUAAC